ACGCUGACACCUACGGAGGCAGCAGUGGGGAAUAUUGCACAAUGGGGGAAACCCUGAUGCAGCGACGCCGCGUGGAGGAAGAAGGUCUUCGGAUUGUAAACUCCUGUUGUUGGGGAAAAAGAGGAUGGUACCCAACAAGGAAGUGACGGCUAACUACGUGCCAGCACGCCGGUAGGUAAUCUGAGGCCGGGCGUGGACGAAGGC
rnacentral:rRNA from 1 species